GAUGAACGCUAGCUACAGGCUUAACACAUGCAAGUCGAGGGGAAACGACAUCGAAAGCUUGCUCUUGAUGGGCGUCGACCGGCGCACGGGUGAGUAACGCGUAUCCAACCUGCCCACCACUUGGGGAUAACCUUGCGAAAGUAAGACUAAUACCCAAUGACGUCUCUAGAAGACAUCUGAAGGAGAUUAAAGAUUUAUCGGUGAUGGAUGGGGAUGCGUCUGAUUAGCUUGUUGGCGGGGUAACGGCCCACCAAGGCUACGGUCAGUAGGGGUUCUGAGAGGAAGGUCCCCCACAUUGGAACUGAGACCAGGUCCAAACUCCUACGGGAGGCAGCAGUGCGGAAUAUUGGUCAAUGGACGAGAGUCUGAACCAGCCAAGCAGCGUGCAGGAUGACGGCCCUAUGGGUUGUAAACUGCUUUUAUAAGGGAAUAAAGUGAGCCUCGUGAGGCUUUUUGCAUGUACCUUAUGAAUAAGGACCGGCUAAUUCCGUGCCAGCCGCCGCCGUAA
rnacentral:rRNA from 1 species